UUAUCCUCUUUAGAUCUCCUUUUUCCACUCUUUAAUCCUCUCUUUUCUUGGCUUGGAUUUGGAGUUAGAGGCUUGAGGAUCUCUUCCCCCUCUCUUGUGAAGGUGUUUCCAUGAGUUUUGAGGAGGUGAAGCUUUGGCUUGAGGCAAAGAGUUAGCUGAGGAUUAGCAUCAUUGGAAGUGAAAUCAUCAAUUUUUCUGUUGCAGGUAGUAGGUGCGGCUGUGUGGCAGCAUGCUGAGCAUUUCCUACUGUCUGUCUUCUAUGUAUCUUUUCAGUUCAUGUAUGUUUAUUUUGGUAAUACUCAUGUUGUUUG